AGUCAACAUAAUCAUUGACUUUAUAAAGAAAAUUCGCCUUUUCAAAACAUUGAAUGUUUCACAAAUAAUACGCGACAACAAGGCAAAAUCAUUUCUUAAAACACUGCAAAAUAAUAAUUCUGAUUGAUGCAGUGGUAUUGUCAUAAAUUGCACUGGAGUGAACAGUGGUACAUCAAACGUCGAAUUCCCUCACACAAUGUUAUCACAC
rnacentral:lncRNA from 1 species